rnacentral:rRNA from 1 species
AUUGAACGCUGGCGGCAGGCUUAACACAUGCAAGUCGAACGAGUGGCGGACGGGUGAGUAAUGCUUGGGAAUCUGGCUUAUGGAGGGGGAUAACGACGGGAAACUGUCGCUAAUACCGAGUACCCAAGGAUGAGCCCAAGUGGGAUUGGGUAGUUGGUGGGGUAAUGGCCUACCAGGCCGACGCUCUCUCGCUGGUCUGAGAGGAUGCCCAGCCACACCGGGACGGAGACACGGCCCGGACUCCUACGGAAGGCAGCAGUGGGGAAUAUUGCUCAAUGGGGGCAACCUGACGCAGCCAUGCCGCGUGAAUGAAGAAGGCCUUCGGGUUGUAAAGUUCUUUCGGUGACGAGGCGUUAAUCACAGAAGAAGCACCGGCUAACUCCGUGCCAGCCGCCGCGGUAAUUC